rnacentral:rRNA from 1 species
GACGAACGCUUGGCGGCGUGCCUAAAACAUGCAAGUCGAACGAGGGCUUCGGCCCUAGUGGCGAACGGCGGAGUAAUACAUAAGCAACGUGCCCCGAAGACUGGGAUAUACAGUCGAAAGACUGGGUAAUACCGGAUGUGGCUGGCUUUGGACAUCCAGAGCCAAUUAAAUGGAGUUUUCGCUUCGGGAGCGACUUAUGGCCUAUCAGCUUGUUGGCGAGGUAACGGCUCACCAAGGCUACGACGGGUAGGGGGUCUGAGAGGAUGAUCCCCCCGAGUGGGACUGAGACACGGCCCACACACCUACGGGUGGCAGCAGUUGGGAAUCUUG